rnacentral:lncRNA from 1 species
CUUCUUCAGAGACGUCCCCGUAAAGCGCCGAGUCGACUCCAAACAACGUCAAAAGAAAUUUUAUACAGCCGAGACGUCUCGCGUUCAAGCGGAGACGUCUCCGGAGCGCCUAGGACGCGACUGACACACUUUUGCAGGUUUGUUUGAAUUUCAAACGUUCAUAUUUUUGUGUCUAACGGAUCUAUUGCUUUUUGGGCUAUAAAAGGGAGCUUUUAAGUGCCUUCUAACAACUUCUCACCAACCCAACACAAGAUCAUUCAAGAGAGAAGAAAGAGAAAGAGGUUCAAGGGAGUUAGUGCUUUCAAGAGGAGAAAUCAAGUGCAUUCAAGCUUUCCCAUCUGAUUUC